rnacentral:lncRNA from 1 species
CGGGAGGACCUGGACUUGGUGUCUGAAGUUGCCUGCUCCACAGGAAACCACCUCCCUCUGCUGCUUGCUUUCUCUUGAGCCAACACCCAAAGCCACCAUCAGUGUCAUGGGGAUGAGACUUUUCAAGGCUGUUCCCACUUUCUUCUUCUUCCUCCUUUGCAGAAGGUAAAACAUUAAUUUAAGAUGAUGAAACCAGACAUUUUGAGAAAAGUUUGGACAACAAUGACAAAGACGGAGAAGCCUGAAGGGGAAAAAAACUCAGUCCACUAUUUUCUGAGAAAGAACAGUGAGACCCUCUUGCCUCCACUUGUAAUCAUAGGGAAGUGGAAGCUGUGUUUCCUGGAGACCACCUGGGUGAAAAAUGCUAAAUGGACAUCACAGAAGAGCUGCUUUAGAAGUGAAGUUUUGAUUUGAACCACUCAUUUAGUGGUUGUUAAUUAAAUCAAUCUGGUAAUCUGG